rnacentral:rRNA from 1 species
UAUGGUCAAGUGAAGAAGCGCAUACGGUGGAUGCCUUGGCAGUCAGAGGCGAUGAAAGACGUGGUAGCCUGCGAAAAGCUUCGGGGAGUCGGCAAACAGACUUUGAUCCGGAGAUGUCUGAAUGGGGGAACCCAGCCAUCAUAAGAUGGUUACCUUACACUGAAUACAUAGGUGUAUGGAGCGAACCAGGGGAACUGAAACAUCUAAGUACCCUGAGGAAAAGAAAUCAACCGAGAUUCCCUUAGUAGUGGCGAGCGAACGGGGACUAGCCCUUAAGUGGCUUUGAGAUUAGCGGAACGCUCUGGAAAGUGCGGCCAUAGUGGGUGAUAGCCCUGUACGCGAAAAUCUCUUAGUCAUGAAAUCGAGUAGGACGGAGCACGAGAAACUUUGUCUGAAUAUGGGGGGACCAUCCUCCAAGGCUAAAUACUACUGACUGACCGAUAGUGAACUAGUACCGUGAGGGAAAGGCGAAAAGAACCCCGGAGAGGGGAGUGAAAUAGAUCCUGAAACCGUAUGCGUACAAGCAGUGGGAGCCCACUUUGUUGGGUGACUGCGUACCUUUUGUAUAAUGGGUCAGCGACUUAUUUUCAGUGGCGAGCUUAACCGAAUAGGGGAGGCGUAGCGAAAGCGAGUCUUAAUAGGGCGUCUAGUCGCUGGGAAUAGACCCGAAACCGGGCGAUCUAUCCAUGGGCAGGUUGAAGGUUGGGUAACACUAACUGGAGGACCGAACCGACUACCGUUGAAAAGUUAGCGGAUGACCUGUGGAUCGGAGUGAAAGGCUAAUCAAGCUCGGAGAUAGCUGGUUCUCCUCGAAAGCUAUUUAGGUAGCGCCUCAUGUAUCACUGUAGGGGGUAGAGCACUGUUUCGGCUAGGGGGUCAUCCCGACUUACCAAACCGAUGCAAACUCCGAAUACCUACAAGUGCCGAGCAUGGGAGACACACGGCGGGUGCUAACGUCCGUCGUGAAAAGGGAAACAACCCAGACCGUCAGCUAAGGUCCCAAAGUUAUGGUUAAGUGGGAAACGAUGUGGGAAGGCUUAGACAGCUAGGAGGUUGGCUUAGAAGCAGCCACCCUUUAAAGAAAGCGUAAUAGCUCACUAGUCGAGUCGGCCUGCGCGGAAGAUGUAACGGGGCUCAAACCAUACACCGAAGCUACGGGUAUCACGUAAGUGAUGCGGUAGAGGAGCGUUCUGUAAGCCUGUGAAGGUGAGUUGAGAAGCUUGCUGGAGGUAUCAGAAGUGCGAAUGCUGACAUGAGUAACGACAAUGGGUGUGAAAAACACCCACGCCGAAAGACCAAGGUUUCCUGCGCAACGUUAAUCGACGCAGGGUUAGUCGGUCCCUAAGGCGAGGCUGAAAAGCGUAGUCGAUGGAAAACAGGUUAAUAUUCCUGUACUUCUGGUUAUUGCGAUGGAGGGACGGAGAAGGCUAGGCCAGCUUGGCGUUGGUUGUCCAAGUUUAAGGUGGUAGGCUGAGAUCUUAGGUAAAUCCGGGAUCUUAAGGCCGAGAGCUGAUGACGAGUCGUCUUUUAGACGACGAAGUGGUUGAUGCCAUGCUUCCAAGAAAAGCUUCUAAGCUUCAGGUAACCAGGAACCGUACCCCAAACCGACACAGGUGGUUGGGUAGAGAAUACCAAGGCGCUUGAGAGAACUCGGGUGAAGGAACUAGGCAAAAUGGCACCGUAACUUCGGGAGAAGGUGCGCCGGUGAGGGUGAAGGACUUGCUCCGUAAGCUCAUGCCGGUCGAAGAUACCAGGCCGCUGCGACUGUUUAUUAAAAACACAGCACUCUGCAAACACGAAAGUGGACGUAUAGGGUGUGACGCCUGCCCGGUGCCGGAAGGUUAAUUGAUGGGGUUAGCUAACGCGAAGCUCUUGAUCGAAGCCCCGGUAAACGGCGGCCGUAACUAUAACGGUCCUAAGGUAGCGAAAUUCCUUGUCGGGUAAGUUCCGACCUGCACGAAUGGCGUAACGAUGGCGGCGCUGUCUCCACCCGAGACUCAGUGAAAUUGAAAUCGCUGUGAAGAUGCAGUGUAUCCGCGGCUAGACGGAAAGACCCCGUGAACCUUUACUAUAGCUUUGCACUGGACUUUGAAUUUGCUUGUGUAGGAUAGGUGGGAGGCUUUGAAGCGUGGACGCCAGUUCGCGUGGAGCCAACCUUGAAAUACCACCCUGGCAACUUUGAGGUUCUAACUCAGGUCCGUUAUCCGGAUCGAGGACAGUGUAUGGUGGGUAGUUUGACUGGGGCGGUCUCCUCCUAAAGAGUAACGGAGGAGUACGAAGGUGCGCUCAGACCGGUCGGAAAUCGGUCGUAGAGUAUAAAGGCAAAAGCGCGCUUGACUGCGAGACAGACACGUCGAGCAGGUACGAAAGUAGGUCUUAGUGAUCCGGUGGUUCUGUAUGGAAGGGCCAUCGCUCAACGGAUAAAAGGUACUCCGGGGAUAACAGGCUGAUACCGCCCAAGAGUUCAUAUCGACGGCGGUGUUUGGCACCUCGAUGUCGGCUCAUCACAUCCUGGGGCUGAAGCCGGUCCCAAGGGUAUGGCUGUUCGCCAUUUAAAGUGGUACGCGAGCUGGGUUUAGAACGUCGUGAGACAGUUCGGUCCCUAUCUGCCGUGGACGUUUGAGAUUUGAGAGGGGCUGCUCCUAGUACGAGAGGACCGGAGUGGACGAACCUCUGGUGUUCCGGUUGUCACGCCAGUGGCAUUGCCGGGUAGCUAUGUUCGGAAUAGAUAACCGCUGAAAGCAUCUAAGCGGGAAACUAGCCUCAAGAUGAGAUCUCACUGGAACCUUGAGUUCCCUGAAGGGCCGUCGAAGACUACGACGUUGAUAGGUUGGGUGUGUAAGCGCUGUGAGGCGUUGAGCUAACCAAUACUAAUUGCCCGUGAGGCUUGACCAUA